GAUGAACGCUGGCGGCGUGCCUAAUACAUGCAAGUCGAGCGAACAGACGAGGAGCUUGCUCCUCUGACGUUAGCGGCGGACGGGUGAGUAACACGUGGAUAACCUACCUAUAAGACUGGGAUAACUUCGGGAAACCGGAGCUAAUACCGGAUAAUAUAUUGAACCGCAUGGUUCAAUAGUGAAAGACGGUUUUGCUGUCACUUAUAGAUGGAUCCGCGCCGCAUUAGCUAGUUGGUAAGGUAACGGCUUACCAAGGCAACGAUGCGUAGCCGACCUGAGAGGGUGAUCGGCAACAUGGGAACUGGGACACGGUCCAGACUCCUACGGGAGGCAGCAGUAGGGAAUCUUCCGCAAUGGGCGAAAGCCUGACGGAGCAACGCCGCGUGAGUGAUGAAGGUCUUCGGAUCGUAAAACUCUGUUAUUAGGGAAGAACAAAUGUGUAAGUAACUAUGCACGUCUUGACGGUACCUAAUCAGAAAGCCACGGCUAACUACGUG
rnacentral:rRNA from 1 species